rnacentral:rRNA from 1 species
CGGACGGGUGAGUAACACGUGAGCAACCUGCCUUCGAGAGGGGAAUAACGGCUGGAAACGGUCGCUAAUACCGCAUAACAUACCGGGAGGACAUCCUGCUGGUAUCAAAGAUUUUAUCGCUCGAAGAUGGGCUCGCGUCCGAUUAGGUAGUUGGUGAGGUAACGGCUCACCAAGCCGACGAUCGGUAGCCGGACUGAGAGGUUGAACGGCCACAUUGGGACUGAGACACGGCCCAGACUCCUACGGAAGGCAGCAG